rnacentral:rRNA from 1 species
AUACGGAGGAUCCGAGCGUUAUCCGGAUUUAUUGGGUUUAAAGGGAGCGUAGGUGGACAUGUAAGUCAGUUGUGAAAGUUUGCGGCUCAACCGUAAAAUUGCAGUUGAUACUGUGUGUCUUGAGUACAGUAGAGGUGGGCGGAAUUCGUGGUGUAGCGGUGAAAUGCUUAGAUAUCACGAAGAACUCCGAUUGCGAAGGCAGCUCACUGGACUGUUACUGACACUGAGGCUCGAAAGUGUGGGUAUCAAACAGGAUUAGAUACCCUGGUAGUCCACACAGUAAACGAUGAAUACUCGCUGUUUGCGAUAUACGGCAAGCGGCCAAGCGAAAGCAUUAAGUAUUCCACCUGGGGAGUACGCCGGCAACGGUGAAACUCAAAGGAAUUGACGGGGGCCCGCACAAGCGGAGGAACAUGUGGUUUAAUUCGAUGAUACGCGAGGAACCUUACCCGGGCUUAAAUUGCAUUUGAAUGUUGGGGAAACCCAACAGCCGUAAGGCAAAUGUGAAGGUGCUGCAUGGUUGUCGUCAGCUCGUGCCGUGAGGUGUCGGCUUAAGUGCCAUAACGAGCGCAACCCUUAUCUUUAGUUACUAACAGGUUAUGCUGAGGACUCUAGAGAGACUGCCGUCGUAAGAUGUGAGGAAGGUGGGGAUGACGUCAAAUCAGCACGGCCCUUACGUCCGGGGCUACACACGUGUUACAAUGGGGGGUACAGAAGGCAGCUACCUGGUGACAGGAUGCUAAUCCCAAAAGCCUCUCUCAGUUCGGAUCGAAGUCUGCAACCCGACUUCGUGAAGCUGGAUUCGCUAGUAAUCGCGCAUCAGCCACGGCGCGGUGAAUACGUUCCCGGGCCUUGUACACACCGCCCGUCAAGCCAUGGGAGCCGGGGGUACCUGAAGUACGUAACCGCAAGGAGCGUCCUAGGGUAAAACUGGUGACUGGGGCU